rnacentral:misc_RNA from 1 species
UCUCCGUUGGUGAACCAGCGGAGGGAUCAUUAAAGAUGGUCGAAAGACUUCUAAAACCUACCGUGCUCCCCUAUGUGGACAACCUGAAAGCCCCCCGGGGCAUCGGAAAUCUGAGAAGUUGAAGAACUGCGCCCCGGCGCAUGACUUAAGCAAAGAAUUACAACCCAUAACAAUGGAUCUCUUGGCUCUGGCAUCGAUGAAGAACGCAGC